AAAAGAGAUCACCAUUAAAAUCAAAACACAAUGAGAGGCAUGAAAGAAGUCAAACUGGAGAGAAGAAAGCUUUCAUAUACACUGAAUGUGGUAAAAACCGGUGUAUAUGAGAGUCACCUUCAAAGGCAUGGAAGUACACCUAUGGGAAAGAAAUGUUUACAAUGUAAUCAGUGUGUUAAAGCCUUUGCACAUCACAGUAAUCUUCAAAGGCAUAAAAGAAACCAUACUGGAGAGAAACCCUAUGAAUGUAAUCAAUGUGCUAAAGCCUUUACACAACACAGUACUCUUCAAAAGCAUAAAAGAACAUAUAAUAGUGCAAAAAAUUCUAAAUGUAAUCAGUGUGAUAAAGCCUUUUCCAAACACAGUACUCUUCAAAUACAUAAAAGAACCCAUAUUGGAGGGAAACCCUAUGAAUGUAUUUAAUGUGGUAAAGCCUUUGGAAAACAUUGUCAGCUACAAAUGUAUUUAAGAACACCUACUGGAGAUAAACCUUAUGAAUGUAAUCAAUGUGGUAAAGUCUUUGCAUAUCACCAAACUCUUCAAAUGUAUGAAAGAACACAUACUGGAAAUAAACCGUAUGAAUAUAAUCAAUGUGGUAAAGCCUUUGUACAUCACAAACAUUUUCAAAUACA